AUUGAGGUCUAAAGGGUCUAAAAUUAAACAUUAUUUGAUUUCAUCAAAAAUUGAAUUCUUAGGGUUCUAUGAUAUGCUGAAUCUAGCCAUGUGUUUAGAUUUUGGAUAUUGGACCAUAAUAGGUAAAUGUCCAAUUUAAAAAUUUUAAGUUUUUAAGUUUAAGUUCUUAGACCACAUUCAUUCUGUGUCAGAAACUUAUGUUGUGUCAACUAUUUAAUCACAAUCCAAAUUCAGAGCUGUAUCAAGCUUGAAUGUUGUGUCCAUACUUGCCCCAACUGUUCAGGGUUCGAACUCUGCGGUCGUAUAAAGCUGCGCCCUGUGGAGCAUCUGGUUGUGUUUUGGUCUGUUUUUCUUAUACUCUAUGCAAUAGGUCUACUAUAUUUGGUGUAUGGAAUGAUUGCAAUUGUACAUGUCUAGCUGGCAGGUGUCAUUUGUACUUCGGCUCAUUUUCAUGGUUCAGUGGUCCGUUAAUUUUUGAGUUGUGGUCUUUUUUUCUCAUACUAUGAAAAAGGUCAAC
rnacentral:lncRNA from 1 species